rnacentral:rRNA from 1 species
AUUGAACGCUGGCGGCAUGCCUUACACAUGCAAGUCGAACGGCAGCGCGGACUUCGGUCUGGCGGCGAGUGGCGAACGGGUGAGUAAUACAUCGGAACGUACCCUGUUGUGGGGGAUAACUAGUCGAAAGAUUAGCUAAUACCGCAUACGACCUGAGGGUGAAAGUGGGGGGACCGCAAGGCCUCACGCAGCAGGAGCGGCCGAUGUCUGAUUAGCUAGUUGGUGGGGUAAAGGCCCACCAAGGCGACGAUCAGUAGCUGGUCUGAGAGGACGAUCAGCCACACUGGGACUGAGACACGGCCCAGACUCCUACGGGAGGCAGCAGUGGGGAAUUUUGGACAAUGGGGGCAACCCUGAUCCAGCAAUGCCGCGUGUGUGAAGAAGGCCUUCGGGUU